GCUAUCUGUCCUUACGGAGCCUACACCGUUCAGAGAACCUCGCAGCCUUCCAUGGAGGCAUUGGCGGCAGCUCCAAUGGAGGAGGCAGUGGCACCAGCAGCAUGAAAAGAAAUGACCCCUCUGUUCAUCUGUGGGCGGAGGAAGAGGCGUCCCGACGGUUUGGCCCAGCUCUUACCCCUGAACAUAGCCUAACUGACACAGAGAUGCAGGACUAAUCACAAACUAACAUCACCUCCCCCUACUGGACUGAGCGGCCAAGAGCAGGCGAUGGAAAAAGAGGAAGAGGACUGUGACUAUGAAGGACAUUAUCUUAUCAAAAGCAUUAUUUAACAUAAAAGACUUCGAGAGAGAGAGAAAAGACUAAUAAAAUGGACAGCUCAGAUGGUUUCAUACACAAGCUUUCUUGCUGGAUGAAGGAAAGAAGAUCUAUUGAUGUUUAGUGAGCUGGAAACAAG